CUCUGCAGAUGCCUUCGGGCACUGGUUGAGAAAAAGCAGCAGGAAGGAGAAGAAGCUGCUUGCCUCGACUACAGUGGACCAGUGAAACUCCCUACACCCCAGGGGCUGCUGGCACGACUCCUGGUAGUAGCCUCAUCCCCUUACGAAAGAGAAGGACAUGGAUGUGCUGCCUUGCAAUUACUUGAGGCCCUGCACCACAAUAUCCACGCAGCAGUGGGUGAGAUGUGGGUACUAAAUAUCCCACCUCUGCUGCAGUACAUUGA